rnacentral:rRNA from 1 species
CAAUAGCGUAUAUUAAAGUUGUUGCAGUUAAAAAGCUCGUAGUUGGAUUUCUGCUGAGGACGAUCGGUCCGCCCACUGGGUGAGUAUCUGGCUCGGCCUUGGCAUCUUCUUGGAGAACGUUGCUGCACUUGACUGUGUGGCGCGGUAUCCAGGACUUUUACUUUGAGGAAAUUAGAGUGUUUCAAGCAGGCGCACGCCUUGAAUACAUUAGCAUGGAAUAAUGAGAUAGGACCUUGGUUCUAUUUUGUUGGUUUCUAGAGCUGAGGUAAUGAUUAAUAGGGAUAGUUGGGGGCAUUCGUAUUUAACAGUCAGAGGUGAAAUUCUUGGAUUUGUUAAAGACGGACUACUGCGAAAGCAUUUGCCAAGGAUGUUUUCAUUGA